UCCUGUGUCAGUGGAUGAAGUCCUUCAUGGAUUUAUUUUCUGUUCUUUCAUUGUUCUUCAUAACAAUUAAUUUUCUACAUUGUUAUCUUGUAUAUUUACAUUUUAUUCUUAUUGUGUUUUAGAGGCCAUGUUGUUCAGCUGGCAGGAGAAGGAGCAACAAUAACUGGCCCCAAUAAUCAGCACUUGCCCCCCAAUUCUCCUAUUCCAGCACAUCUUCAGUGUGUCGACAUGAGAGUUAUUCGGGUUUCUGUCGUCGCGCCGACAUUUGGCCAUUUAUUCUAUGUUGAAGCACCGAACAAGGAUGUAUGUUAUGGCGAUGAUGGUGGAGCAGUGGUGUACAACGGCAUGAUUUAUGGUGUGAUUUCUUUUGGUGGACCAGACUACUACACAUGUCGCAAACCAGCUGCAGUCGUGGAUGUCUGUGAAUAUCUGGGGUGGAUAAAAUUUACAGUUGGGCUUAUUUAAACAUAAACUAUCAUGAAAUGAAAUUCUCAUCAAAUUUCCUCUCACAUAUAAUUUUAUAAUUGUAUCUUCAUCUUUUUGAUGCACAUGUUUGUAGAAUUAGAAUAAAUUAAUUGUUUUGUUGUAUUUUUCUCACCUGAUCUUGACCUGCCUAAUGGAGCUUUCUCUGCCUCAUAAAUGAAAAAUAAAUCAAUAAAUGCAUGAAGAAGAAAUA